GGACCGCUGCAGCCGAGGCAGGGGGCAGGGCGAAGUCCCGGGAGCUGGGGAGGAGUGGUCUGCAUUAAGUGGCUGGGCUACUGAAGAGCAUAGGGCAGGAAGCAACCUCCUGGAAGCGGAGGUUGGUAGACUGUGGAAGGAAACAUGGCAUUGGGGCCCGGACUCGGAAGCAAGGUGAUGGGGACACAGAGAAAGAGGGGUUAGUCUGGCUGAAGAUUGUGGCUUAAGAGAAGGACAAGUUGAAACGGCUUGUGGACCACGCAGGACAGCCUCUGGAACGGGAGCCACAAGAGCCAUCUAGUCAGGCACCUAGGACUGUGCCAGGUAUGUGGGAGUUGACUGGCUCUGGGAAAAAGCUGUUGGCCAGUGCAGGCUACAAAGGAAGACUUCUGGGCACUCAGCAGAGCUGCAGUCCUGGCUGGUCGGAGGAUCAGGACUACUUGGCCUAAGACCGCAAGAGACCCCAGGGCAGAAGCCAUCUCCUGCCUGCCCCAAAUGAUGGUGAUUCCGACUUCCCAUCAGAUCUGGUGAUGAUCUGCCUCAGUUUCAAAAGCAAGCUAGAGGGUCCCAAGAGUUCUGAUGAAAAUGUGAAACCCCUCUGCCCUGGGGCCCUCAGGAAAGCUGCUCAGGAAAACAUCUGUCAGUCAUGGAGACGGCACCUUAGGAGACAGACCUGCGCCACAGCUGAGAACCAAGACCUGAGCUCUGGCUGAGGAGGGGGAGAAAGAACUACGGGAGGGAGAUCAGCCAUGCGGGAACACUCAUGACAAAAGCCACCAAGAGCUUGUGACACGCCACAUUUCUCAACCUAGAAACACUUACUUGGUCUACCCUGUAGGUAAAAUUUCCUUGUUUUCAUUUCUAUUUUUUUGAGACAAGGUCUUGCUAUAUAUAUAGCCCAGGCUAGCCUGCAACUCACUAAGUAGCCUAGGGUGGACUCAAACUCUCAAUCUUCCGACCUCAGCCUCCCCUGUGGUAGGAUUAGGGGUGCAUCACCACACCCAGCCUGGGUUCUGGGUUUAGAAUAAGCUGGGAAGAAACUCACAAAUCCUUUAAGUCACCCAAAAAGACAGUCCAGACACGCCACCCAAUAAACACACAAGGAAGUAGAUGACCUUCUCCAAACAGAUUACUCCAAGUUUGCAGCCCAUAGGCUUAAAAUUAGGCCGAGUAAUCCUAUCAACUCAGACGUGUUCACUUUAGAACACGCCAAUCUUUACAGAGAUGUCUCUCUGCCUCUUUCACUCUACGGCCAUUAUCCACCUGACCCAAACAAUUACUAUUUUCAGUGUCUGGAAGUAGUUUCCCUGUAGAUGAAACAGAGAUGGAAUAAAGGUAACUUAGAAAAAGAUGGCCCAUUUCUAGCACAGAAAUGGGAGGGGUCAGGGUCUAGAAAACUGCUGAGCCCACAUAAAUACCAGAAUCUACUGGCUGGCUGCAAGAAGCUUUAAAAGUUGUUGUAAGGACCAUGGUUAGGCAAUACUUGCUUAAAGUAAGCUUGGGGAUUGCCACAUACCUAUGGUCAAGGACUGGUCACUGCUUAGUACAAGAGACUAUAACUUCUCCUAAACACUUACGCACCAGAACAACUAAGAUGUUCAAGACCCAAAUACUAACUUCCCUACCUGCUGGAAAGGCUUGGGCUUUUAACCCAAACAUCUGCCAUAAUCUUUUUACUGCUUCUCUCCUCUUUGACAGGCUUCCACAGGCCCAAACUCAGCAGGGGGG